UAAUAGUUAACUUUUUUCUUUGUACUAGGGUUGAACCCAAGGCCAUUCUACACAGCUGCAUUCCAGCCCUUGUUUUGAGAUGGUCUCCCCAAGAUGCCCUUUCUGGCCUUAAAUCUGGGCUCCUCCCUCAACUUCCUGAAUAGUUAAGUUGUGCAUCAUAGGGCUGAGGUUGUGGCUUAGAGGUAGGGUACUUGCCUGGCAUAGAGGAGUGUAGUAACAUUUUAGAAAUAACCAACAGGUAUAAUCCAAAGAUAGAGACAACAUCUAGAAAUAAGCCUCCGUAAUACGCUAUGUGUACCUGAAAAUUAUGCAUAACUUUGGAACUCUUAAACUGGUUCUGAGAAUACCCUCAAAGCAUAAAACAUCACAUUUAAAGUGCAUAACUGGGUUACUUGGCAAAUUAGGUACUGCAGGUAACAAUUUUACUAUUAGGCCAGGUUAAUGCUUCAACCCUCAGAGUGGAGGUAUACUCUGGCUAGGAAAACCUAGGGGGUAGUAAUGGGAAAAAAAUGAUUUCAAACCUUUUAAAAAGCUUCCUUAAACCAGGUACUGUGGAAUGUUUGCUUAUAAUAAUGAGAAAGUAGUAGAUCCAACGCUCUAGAUUAACAUCACAAGAUAAAAGCUUUUGCCAGCUUUUAGUGAAAUAAGAACACCUUGGUAGAAACUCUUCAAUUCGGGCUGGGGUUGUGGCUCAGUGGUAGAAAACUUGCCUAGUAUGUGUGAGGCACUGGGUUCAAUUCUCAGCAUCGCAUAUAGACAAAGGUCUGUUAAUAACUCAAAAAUAUGUUAAAGUCUCCAAUUUAAGGAUAUAGCUUAGUUGGUAGAGUCCUUGCCUCACUUGCACAGGGCCCUGGGUUCCAUCCUCAGCGUCAUCAAAAUCUUCAAUUUAAAAGACUGAUGAGGGCUG
rnacentral:lncRNA from 1 species